rnacentral:rRNA from 1 species
UGCAGUCGAGGGGUAUGCUUCUUCGGGAGCAGAGACCGGCGCACGGGUGCGUAACGCGUAUGCAAUCUACCUUUUACAGAGGGAUAGCCCAGAGAAAUUUGGAUUAAUACCUCAUAGUAUAACAUGGCCGCAUGGCUGAGUUAUUAAAGUCACAACGGUAAAAGAUGAGCAUGCGUCCCAUUAGCUAGUUGGUAAGGUAACGGCUUACCAAGGCUACGAUGGGUAGGGGUCCUGAGAGGGAGAUCCCCCACACUGGUACUGAGACACGGUCCAGACUCCUACGGGAGGCAGCAGUGAGGAAUAUUGGACAAUGGGCGCAAGCCUGAUCCAGCCAUGCCGCGUGCAGGAUGACGGUCCUAUGGAUUGUAAACUGCUUUUAUACGAGAAGAAACACUCCUUCGUGAAGGAGCUUGACGGUAUCGUAAGAAUAAGGAUCGGCUAACUCCGUGCCAGCAGCCGCGGUAAUACGGAGGAUCCAAGCGUUAUCCGGAAUCAUUGGGUUUAAAGGGUCCGUAGGCGGUUUAAUAAGUCAGUGGUGAAAGCCCAUCGCUCAACGGUGGAACGGCCAUUGAUACUGUUAGACUUGAAUUAUUAGGAAGUAACUAGAAUAUGUAGUGU